UACAGAGGUCUCAAGCGUUGUUCGGAUUCAUUGGGCGUAAAGGGUGCGUAGGUGGCGAGGCAAGUCAGAUGUGAAAUCCCGGGGCUCAACCCCGGAACUGCAUUUGAAACUGCCUUGCUCGAGUACUGGAGAGGAGACUGGAAUUUACGGUGUAGCAGUGAAAUGCGUAGAUAUCGUAAGGAAGACCAGUGGCGAAGGCGAGUCUCUGGACAGUUACUGACACUGAAAAACGAAAGCCAGGGGAGCAAACGGG
rnacentral:rRNA from 1 species